UACAGAGGUCACGAGCGUUGUUCGGAUUCAUUGGGCGUAAAGGGUGCGUAGGGGGCGCCGUAAGUCAGGUGUGAAAUUUCGGAGCUUAACUCCGAAACUGCAUUUGAUACUGCGGUGCUUGAGGACUGGAGAGGAGACUGGAAUUCACGGUGUAGCAGUGAAAUGCGUAGAUAUCGUGAGGAAGACCAGUGGCGAAGGCGGGUCUCUGGACAGUUCCUGACACUGAGGCACGAAGGCCAGGGGAGCAAACGGG
rnacentral:rRNA from 1 species